UAUCCUCUCAAUUGUUAUAAUCAUAAUAAUCAAGUAUAAAUCAACAAUAAUUGUCUUUAGGUUCAUAUUCAGUUGAGUAGUAUGUCAAUUCUCAAACUAGGCACAACUUAGAGAAUGUGUCAUAAUUUUCCUGCAAAAUUGUUGCUUACUAGGAUGCAUGUCUACUAAAAUUCCUUAAAUGAUCAAAACCUUGACUUGGUUUUUCUGAGUCUCCAGGAUCCGUGAAAAGAGUAGCCGUUGUUGGUGCCGGGGUAAGUGGGCUUGCUGCAGCUUACAAAUUGAAAUCAAAUGGUCUGGAUGUCACUGUAUUUGAAGCUGAAGGAAGAGCUGUAGGGAGGUUGAGAAGUGUUUCUCAGGAAUCAGGAUAGUCUAAUUUGGGAUGAGGGAGCUAAUACAAUGACUGAAAGGGAAAUCGAGGUUAAAGGUUUGAUUGAUGCUCUUGGACUUCAAGAAAAGCAACAAUUUGUCAUUUUUGAACCAUUUAUGUGGAAAAGAAGUGACCACACUUGUGUGUGAUGAAAAUUCUGAGGAAAGGUUCUUUGAAUGUCAUUUUGGGAAAGAGAUAUAUGUCACCGUAGUCACUUGUUGGAUGUUUUUCUGCCUGUGACUAUCAUGUUAUAUGCUUGCAGUGUACAGUACAUACAUCUUCAAGCAUAAUAUUUAUUAUUUAGAUCGGAGUGUUUUAUGCCUUAUUCUAACAAAACUAUUUGAAGGUUGUGAAUUAUCUGAUUGAUCCUUUUGUUGGAGGUACUAGUGCAGCGGAUCCCGAAUCUCUUUCUCACUUCAAUUCACAGUCCCUAUUCUAUCCUUCCUCUGUCAGAACUUGCAUCUGUUUUCUCACUUUGCAGGUGAGACUCAUUAGGGCAUUGAUGAUACUGAUGACGAGGCUUAGUCUUUGUUUAGGAAGUGCUCUGCUAGAAUAUGUGAAUGUGACAUUGAGACAGUUUAGAAUUUGUUCAUUUUAUUGUUAUUUAUUGUCUAGGACAUAAUGUUAGAUUAUUUGGUCAACUUUUAUUUUGAAGUCUUAUUUUUGUAUUGAUGGGAGUUUGUUAUGUGGUAUCUUCUACAAACCUUGACUUUACUUAAUUAACUUUUAUGCAUGAAUC